GAUGAACGCUGGCGGCGUGCCUAAUACAUGCAAGUCGAGCGAACAGACGAGGAGCUUGCUCCUCUGACGUUAGCGGCGGACGGGUGAGUAACACGUGGAUAACCUACCUAUAAGACUGGGAUAACUUCGGGAAACCGGAGCUAAUACCGGAUAAUAUAUUGAACCGCAUGGUUCAAUAGUGAAAGACGGUUUUGCUGUCACUUAUAGAUGGAUCCGCGCCGCAUUGGCUAGUUGGUAAGGUAACGGCUUACCAAGGCAACGAUGCGUAGCCGACCUGAGAGGGUGAUCGGCCACACUGGAACUGAGACACGGUCCAGACUCCUACGGGAGGCAGCAGUAGGGAAUCUUCCGCAAAGGGCGAAAGCCUGACGGAGCAACGCCGCGUGAGUGAUGAAGGUCUUCGGAUCGUAAAACUCUGUUAUUAGGGAAGAACAAAUGUGUAAGUAACUAUGCACGUCUUGACGGUACCUAAUCAGAAAGCCACGGCUAACUACGUG
rnacentral:rRNA from 1 species